rnacentral:rRNA from 1 species
ACUCCUACGGGAGGCAGCAGUAGGGAAUCUUGCGCAAUGGGCGAAAGCCUGACGCAGCCAUGCCGCGUGAAUGAUGAAGGUCUUAGGAUUGUAAAAUUCUUUCACCGGGGAAGAUAAUGACGGUACCCGGAGAAGAAGCCCCGGCUAACUUCGUGCCAGCAGCCGCGGUAAUACGAAGGGGGCUAGCGUUGCUCGGAAUUACUGGGCGUAAAGGGCGCGUAGGCGGACAGUUUAGUCAGAGGUGAAAGCCCAGGGCUCAACCUUGGAAUUGCCUUUGAUACUGGCUGUCUUGAGUUCGGGAGAGGUGAGUGGAAUGCCGAGUGUAGAGGUGAAAUUCGUAGAUAUUCGGCGGAACACCAGUGGCGAAGGCGGCUCACUGGCCCGAUACUGACGCUGAGGCGCGAAAGCGUGGGGAGCAAACAGGAUUAGAUACCCUGGUAGUCCACGCUGUAAACGAUGAGUGCUAGUUGUCGGCAUGCAUGCAUGUCGGUGACGCAGCUAACGCAUUAAGCACUCCGCCUGGGGAGUACGGUCGCAAGAUUAAAACUCAAAGGAAUUGACGG